rnacentral:miRNA from 1 species
UGGGUAUGUGUCUUAGUCCCGGC